AGUAUUAAAGGUCCUGCCUGCCCAGUGAAAUUUUUAACGGCCGCGGUAUUCUAACCGUGCAAAGGUAGCGUAAUCAUUUGUCUUCUAAAUAAAGACCAGUAUGAAUGGCUAAAUGAGGAUAAACCUGUCUCCUGCAACCUAUCAGUGAAAUUGAUCUCCCAGUCCAAAAGCUGGGAUAUACUCAUAAGACGAGAAGACCCUGUGGAGCUUAAAACUACAUGCUAAUAAACAAACAAGUACAUAGCAAGAAGUUUUAAGUUGGGGCGACUUCGGAACAAAAAAGAACUUCCGAGCACAGAACCACAAUUUCUAACUAAGGUUAACAAGCCAAAGCAAAAAUUGACCCAGUCAAACUGAUUAACGAACCAAGUUACCCCAGGGAUAACAGCGCUAUCUUCUUCGAGAGUCCAUAUCGACAAGAAGGUUUACGACCUCGAUGUUGGAUCAGGGCACCCAAAUGGUGCAACCGCUAUUAAAGGUUCGUUUGUUCAA
rnacentral:rRNA from 1 species